rnacentral:rRNA from 1 species
UACGUAGGGAGCAAGCGUUGUCCGGAAUCAUUGGGCGUAAAGCGCGCGUAGGUGGCCUCAUAAGUCCGCUGUGAAAGUCAAAGGCUCAACCUUUGAAAGCCGGUGGAUACUGUGAGGCUAGAGUACGGAAGAGGCGAGUGGAAUUCCUGGUGUAGCGGUGGAAUGCGCAGAUAUCAGGAGGAAUACCGAUGGCGAAGGCAGGUCUCUGGGCUGACACUGACGCUCAUGCACGAAAGCGUGGGGAGCAAACAGG